UCUACACAUUGUUAGAGCUUGGGGUCGAGGCCACUGGUGGCCGAUGGACUCACAAGUGUAGGUAGUGUGCUAUACGGGGCAAGGUUUUUGCUAACACCAUGAGGGUUUCUGCCCUAUGAGUGGAAUUUGAUAGUAGUCCUUGCUACUAGU